GUGCAUGUUUUCCUCCAGGGAAAAGACUCCAGACUGUGAAACUUCCAGUUGACAAAACAACUUCCUGCUGUUUUGGAGGAAAGGAUUAUUCAGAAAUGUAUGUGACUUCUGCCAGUGAUGGGAUGGAUAAAGAGUGGCUUUCACGACAGCCACAGGCUGGUGGGAUUUUCAAGAUAACAGGACUGGGCGUGAAAGGAGUCCCACCAUAUCCAUU